GACGAACGCUGGCGGCGUGCCUAAUACAUGCAAGUAGAACGCACAGGAUGCACCGUAGUUUACUACACCGUAUUCUGUGAGUUGCGAACGGGUUAGUCACGCGUAGGUAACCUGCCUGGUAGCGGGGGAUAACUAUUGGAAACGAUAGCUAAUACCGCAUAAGACCAUUUACUGCAUGGUAAAUGUUUCAAAGGUGCAAAUGCAUCACUACCAUAUGGACCUGCGUUGUAUUAGCUAGUAGGUGAGGUAACGGCUCACCUAGGCGACGAUACAUAGCCGACAUGGGGAGGAGAGCGGCCCGACUGGGAAGGGGACACGGCCCAGACGGCUACGGGAGGCAGCAGUAGGGAAUCUGCGGCGAUGGGGGGAAGACUGACCGAGCAACGCCGAGAGAGUGAAGAAGGUUUUCGGAUCGUAAAGUGCUGUUGUUAGGGAAGAAAGAGUGUGAGAAUGGAAAGUUCGUAAUGUGAAGGUACUUAACAAGAAAAGGACGGCUAACUACGUG
rnacentral:rRNA from 1 species